AUUGAACGCUGGCGGCAUGCCUUACACAUGCAAGUCGAACGGCAGCACGGGAGCAAUCCUGGUGGCGAGUGGCGAACGGGUGAGUAAUGUAUCGGAACGUACCUUUCAGUGGGGGAUAACGUAGCGAAAGUUACGCUAAUACCGCAUAUUCUGUGAGCAGGAAAGCAGGGGAUCGCAAGACCUUGCGCUGAUUGAGCGGCCGAUAUCAGAUUAGCUAGUUGGUGAGGUAAAGGCUCACCAAGGCGACGAUCUGUAGCGGGUCUGAGAGGAUGAUCCGCCACACUGGAACUGAGACACGGUCCAGACUCCUACGGGAGGCAGCAGUGGGGAAUUUUGGACAAUGGGCGCAAGCCUGAUCCAGCCAUGCCGCGUGAGUGAAGAAGGCCUUCGGGUUGUAAAGCUCUUUCAGCCGGGAAGAAAUCACAUGGGUUAAUACCCUGUGUGGAUGACGGUACCGGAAUAAGAAGCACCGGCUAACUACGUGCCAGCCGCCGCGGUAA
rnacentral:rRNA from 1 species